rnacentral:lncRNA from 1 species
GGUCGAUUAAUAUUAGAAUUAGCCAAGGUGAUUGUAUGGGUCAAAAUAUGAAUUUGACAGAUGGUUGUAUCUGAGAUGAUAUGUUACAUGAAAAGCCUAGUUAGAUCCAGCUCAACAGAUAUGACUCCUAUCAAGAACAAGAUCACACAUGAGCUGACACUCUAGUUUAUCCCAGGUCUAAUACAACGACGAUAGUUUCCCUCAUCCUAGAAAUAUAUGACAAGUAGGUAAUCUAUGACUGGUUGAGUUAAGCUUCGCCCACAACUCAUUUCAAUAAACCUGGGAUACUCCAAUAGUUUUACACCCACAUAUAUGUAAUGGUUGCAACGUGCAGAUCAGGAUCAUUAUGAGGAUUGUAUGUAGAGAAUAGCAGAAGAAAGGUGUAAAUGGAGAGACAUUCUACUAGCCCAAGAUAGUUAAAUAACAUCGAAAGAUUCAAUUAAGAAGAGGAAUCUAAAAAGGUGAAAGAAGAUAUUGAAAGGAAGAACUUAGAUUUGGAAGAAGAACUUGAAUUUGCUUUGUAUUGAAUUUGUUUUUGGUUUGUUACAAAUGCCUAAUGACAUUCCUUAUUUAUACUUGUAGAGGUAAAAUUAUAGAUAUGUAGAACAUUCUAUCCUUUUCUACAAAUAUCAUCCUCAAAUAUCUAACACCUAGAAUAUCUAGACUUGUCCGAAGAACAAAUAUCAAAGAGACUAUAUUAUAACUUUCUAAAUUCUUCUACCAAGAAUUACCUAGAAUAUAUAGAUAUUUCUUCAAGAUGAUUAUCCUAAAUACUACACUAGACUAUUCUAGAAACUUUACUAGAAAUCUAUGAUUCCAUUAAAUCAACUUUAACAUUUUCUCAUCCCCCCUUAAAGUGAUCUUUUAAAAGUUACCCUAAACUUGUCGUAGAAGAACUUAAACGAAGCUUUGAACAAUGUCUUAGUGAAAAUCUUAGCAAUUUUUGUGUGACUCCUCUUACUUCUUCAAAUAAUGAAGAUUUUUCGUUAAUGACUGGCUCUGCGAAAAAAUAAGAAUAUGUAUUGAUAAAAUUUUCAUCUUUGUAGCGGGCUGGCUUGACAAUAGUCCUCAUUGGCCUUUGUGAACCAUAUGAAUCACCUCCUUGCAAAGUUUUAGAUUGUUGAGUUUCUUGGCUCGUCCUUUUUCUUAGCUCCUCGACAACUAUAUUAUUCGAAGAAAUACAUUAAAUAAGAAAGUUAGGAACUCCAAGGUUUAAUUUUUGUGUUACCUCUCCUUCCGACGCAACUUCAUGAUAUGAUUAAAUUUCAUCAAUAUUAGCAACUUCAUUUGAGUUGGUGAUUAUCUGACCAUUAAUCUCAUUCGAAACUUCAUAACCAUUACAGGAUUCACCACCAUCUUCUUUUUCCAACUCCUCAAUAAACUAUCUAGAAACUUUUGACGUUUCAAAAAUCAUAUGGUCAGUCUCUCUAUCUGAAAUUGAGACUUUAAGGUUGGAUUCUUCAUUUAUUUGAUCUUUUGCUUCUUUAUCUACUUCUGGUAUUUUCUAUGCACUAACCUUGAUAUAGUAGAUGAUUUAUUAGAGACUUCAACUUUUAUUAUAUCUCCCUCAAUGUUUUCUCUGAAAAGGUCACCACUAGCAUGUAUAGUUUCAUAUACUACCUGCUCAAGUUCUAUUUCAACAUCUUUUAUGUUCAGACUUUUAUUGACAUUUUCAGGAUCUACUUUUUGAUUUUCUUGAUAGCAUCUGCCAUAUCACUUGUCUGAAUGUCUUCAAUUUUUUCUGUUUCUUGUUAGUGUCUUCCCUCUUCACAUGAUGAAUCGUAUUAUAUCCGAUCCAAUUUUUUUUUAAAUUUAUGAAAGCCAAGGAAUCUAUUGCUUGACUCUCAGGUGCUAAGCAUUUUUCCCAACCUUCUUCUUCUUCUUUAACAAUUUUUCAGUUUGAGCUUUGUUGCUCUCCAUGACUUGACAAUAUCUUCUUAUGUGUCCUUCUUUUCCACACCCAUAACAUCUGAGAGACCUUACUAUAAUUAUUAAAAUACUCUUGCUUCUUUUCAGGUGAGCUUGAACCAUAUGAAAAUCGAUAGUGAAGCAUAUUUCUUGCUUUUCCUUUAACGUUCCUCUUGUUAGCUAUAAGAGUAUUUUCUUUCCUUUCUUUGGCAAAUUCACCAGCCAAAUUGUUUGGCUAGUAACUCCUGUGAUGACAACAAAUUUUCAAAUUCCUCCAAGGAUGGUUGUUGAACCCAUCCCUGAAUUGAUGUCACAAAAGAAAUAUAUUCUGGUUGUAAACCAUGAAUAAUAAUUCAUCUUAUUUGUGCUUUAGAAAUAACCUCAUCCGUAUUCAAUAAAGAAAUCUCAGAACAUAAGUUCUUAAUCUUAAAAAUGUACUCGGCAUAAAACGAUUACCUUGAGUGGUGUUCACCAAUUCAUUCUCUAAUAUUUGUAGGCGAGCUUCAUUUUUCUUGUUGAACAACUGAUCGAGGGUCCUUCAUAUUUCAUGAACUGAUUUACACUUUAUGAUGUGGUCAAAUAAAUUAGAGGAAACAGAACUUUUCAGUAUGAACUCCGCCUUCGUAUUAAUCUGCUUCCACUUCUUGUAUGCACUACUAUUCCCUAUUCUGCUAUUAGGAAGACUUGUGUUACUCCGAUUAACAACAUCCCACAAAUCCUCUCCCACAAGGUAUAAUUUCAUACAUGUCUUUCAUACUUUGUAAUUGGACCGAUUCAGUUACUCCAUUUCCAGUCCAUUAUUGCGAUCACUUAAAUCUAUUUGGACAAGCCAGUUGAACCAACCACAAAUUCGAUCUUGAAAUAAACACAAGUCAAUCUACAACUUUGGCUUUGAUACCAUGUAGAGAAUAACAGAAGAAAUGUGUAAUUAGAGAGAUCUUCUGCUAGCCCAAGAUCAUUAACUAAGAUCGAAAAAGGUGAAGGAAGAUAUUGAAAGGAAGAACUUAGAUUUGGAAGAACAACACUUGAAUUUACUUUGUAUUGAAUUUGUUUUUGG